CUUCUAAGGGGCGUCACAAUCUAGUACCAACUGUCUCCCAAGCUCACUUGGCCAGAGACGGUCAACAGCGAACAUGCUGAGCUGCUUCUCCACUUCACGAGGCUGCAGCCUCAGGACCCCAGGCAGAGAAAGUAUCUGUGAAAGAUUGAGAAGACGGCUGACUCCAUCCAGAGGCCGCAGGCCACACUGCAGCAGCCACACGCCUGUCACAGACACCCCAGGGACGGUCUCCAGGGGAGUGACCACCAGGGACCUAUCAAAAUCAAGGACGGCAUUCUUGCUUCCAGACAGAAAGCAGACUGUUCUUUGUUCUCAACUAUGUAAAGGCAGAGAUCUGAUGUUUCAUAUGCAGCAACAAAGAAUCCUUCCUGAAGAACAUGCCAGGUUUUACUCUGCAGAAAUCAGUUUAGCCUUCACUAUCUUCAUCAGCAAGGGAUACUGUAUAGAAAUUUGAAAUUGGACAAUAUUCUACUGGACUCAGAAGGGCACAUUAGACUCACCGACUAUUGACUAUGUAAGGAAGGCUUGGAGAUGUGACCAGCACUUUCUGUGGCACUCCUAAUUUACCUGGCUCCAGAAAUUGUAAGGGGGGAAGAUUAUGGUUUCAGUGUGGACUGGUGGACUCUCAGAGUACUGAUGUAUGAGAUGAUGAUUGGAGAGUCUCCUUUUCAUCUUGAUGAGAGCUCUGAUAACCCUGACCAAAACUCAAAAAAUAAAAUCAAGUCAUUUUGGAAAGAGAAAUUUGCAUACCUCGUUGUCUGUCUGUAGAAGCUGCAAGUGUGCUGAAGAGUUUUCUGAGAAGGGACCCAAAGGAACGAUUGGGUUGCCAUCCUCAGAGGGCUUUGCUGAUGCUCAGGAGCAUCCAUUCUUUCAAAAUGUCGACUGGGACAUGAUGGAGAGAAAGCAAGUAGUGCCUCCCUUCAAACCAAAUAUGUCUGAGGGAUUCAGGUUGGACAACUUUGAUUCUCAGUUUACUGAGGAACCUGUCCAGCUCACCCCAGAUGGUAAUAACAUAGUGAGGAAAAUGGAAGGAUACGAGUUUGCAGCUUUUGAGUAUAUCAAUCGUCUUUCAAUGUAUGAAGAAAAAUGGAUCUGAUCCUCAUUUUUCAACUAUGCAUUCUGCUUAUUACUAUUUAAUGCUUAGAAAAACUUGUUACCAGCCUGGACUCAAUGAACCAUUUCAUAACUGUCUAGAAGCUAAUUUUAACUUCUUUUUUGUGGUUAUAUUUAGAUGUAAUAUUUGAUUCUUAUAGUCUAUGGUAGAGACUAUAGGACUUUUCAUUGAUAGAGUUGCUUUUUAUGAACUGAAUUAAGUAACAAUGAGGCAAGUGCUUGUUAACCACACUUGUAUACAUUCCAUUUGUGGAGUGAGACAUAGUGCCUAAUCUUGUUUUCUUUUUAUUUAUGAUACAAGAAAACAAUUUGUCUUUUAAGUAGAAUGUCUUACCUAAACUAGUUUCUCUCCAAACCAUAUUACCUGUACUUUUGAGGCUCAGUUGUCGUACUCUUCAGGGAAAUCCAAAAAAUAACAAGAAUUUUGAAUAAAUGUGUAGAAAACACAUACAUUAUACUUCUAUCUUCUUAGUUAAGUUUUUUUUUUUAGUAGGAUAACACAUGAAAUACAUAGUAAAAUUCAUUUUAGGGGCAGAGUUCCUCAAACUGUUUUUAUUAAAAUUAGUGCUUAGGAAUUUAUUAUUUAAAGAGUUCCCAGAUACAGCAUCCCCCUGUUUUGGUAACAUUUUUAUGCAAAGGACUUAAAAAGUGACUGUUAUCUAAAUAAAUUACAAAGCAAUGCUGGGCACGCCACAGGCCCGAGGAGCCACCCAAAGCCGCCAUGCAGAGCAACACCACCACCACCAACAACAACAACAAUAACAAAACAAAACAUAUGGAAAGCUGGAGAGGUGUGAUCCAUGAUGGACCUGGGACAUUUUGUAGUGCCAAAAAGUAAGGAAGUGCUAAAAACAAUCAAACAAAAAAUACCAAUAGGGUACAUCUAAGGAACACAGAAAACAACUGGAAGAGCUCCCUGUGGCCAAAGCUGGAACAAUUUGAAUAACAAAAAUGAAGUAGUGUUGACAUAUAACCCAACGCAUAAAAUAAAUAUCCAUGAGGCCACAGUGAUAGAAAUAAUUGAAUAAAUAAUAAAUGUCCAGAAGAGACAGAUCUUCUAUGCAGUAGAAUUCCACAUCAUGUAUAUGGAUACUCUACUAUCAAGAAUGUCCUUCCAAACAGUAUGUUAUACAAAGGUGGGAGGGAACGGGAAGCAACUUUACAGUGAGAAACCUGACAAACACUACCUCAACCAGGUGAUCAAGGCCAACAUUGACAGUAUUAAAUCAUACUGAUAGUAUGUAUACUUGAUGUGAUUUCAAUGGUAUUUUACCUGUAUGGUCCUCUUCCAAAUAAUCCAUAACCCCUCGUAUUGUCAUGAGAAAGUCAUCAGACAGAUCCCGCUGUGGCACAUUCUACUCUUCAAAACCAUCACAGUUAUCAGAGACAAGGAAAGGCUGAGAAUUGUCACAGCCAAGUGGAGCCAAAGUAGACCCAAUAACUGACUGUUAUGUGGUAUCCCGAAUGGGAUCCUGGGACAGAAAAAGUGUACUGGAUGAAAGCUAAGAAAAUCAAAAUAAACUAGACUUUAGUUAACUGUAAUGUUUAAUAUCAGUUUACUAAUUG
ensembl:lncRNA